CGCCGAGCCUCGGAGAGCAGCGGCUUUGCUUUUCUGGCUGAGGUGCCCAAUAAACAUCUCUUAAACAAAGGAGUGCGCAAGUGAGAUAACAUAAGGGGGAUGCCCAACUAUACAACAAAGAGUUGCCAAACAUUCCUCUGGAGCAAAUAAAUGGUGUGAUGGAUGGAACUAACUGGAUCACCAACCUGUGAGAGAUGGCUGGUUCACUGGCCUUGGCCUCCUCAGGCCAUGACAUUAAUUCACUGGAUCCACUCGCCACCCUGCUCUAUGGCCCUGGGCGUGACUUGCUCUUGCCCCUUGCCUUCUGUUCGGAUCCUGCCAAUGAGGACCUCUAGCAGGAGAUGGGGGCUUGCAUAUUUACCUGACAGGCUGGGCUCCACACAGCCUUUCUGUCUGCAGCCCACACAGCACAAUGAGAUAAAGACUAGAGGCUGCUCACUGCUGAGAGUGGACCAUCCAGCUCACUUGGUCACAUAGUUUCCAGCCAGCCACCUUAUGGGCAAGAUUUUGGCUCAUCUGUAAGCUAUUAGCUGGAAAAUACUGGCUUCAUGAAAUGGCUUGGAAGAUUUGGAGGCAACCUAAGUGUCCAUCAACAGAUGAAUGGAUAAAGAAUAACAGGGUGACUAAAGUCAAUAAUAAUUUAAUUAUACAUUUAAAAAUAACUAAAAGAGUGUAAUUGGAUUGUUUGUAACACAGAAGAUAAAUGUUUGUGGGAAUGAAUACAUGAUGCGAUUAUUUGCAUUGCAUGCCUGUAACAAAAUAUCUUAUGUACCCCGUAAAUAUACACACCUACUAUGUACCCACAAAAAUUAAAAAUUUUUUAAAAAUGA